AUGCUAUGUAGGCUUUUGUUUACCGAGGGUUCGAAUCCCUCUCUUUCCG
rnacentral:tRNA from 4 species